rnacentral:lncRNA from 1 species
GAAUUAGGGGCCAAAAAAGGGCCCAAAUAAGCAUUAUUCUUGGUUUUCGCACAAUAACUUUAGUUUAAGUAAAUAGAAAUCAAUGAAAUUUAAACACAAUGUUAAUGACUACAAAAGGAAGGUUGGUAUUGAUUUUGGGAGUUUAGGUCCCAACAGUUUAGGAAUUAGGGGCCAAAAAGGGACCCAAAUAAGCAUUUUUCUUGAUUUUCGCACCAUAACGUUAGUAUAAGUAAAUAGAAAUCUAUGAAAUUUAAACACAAGGUUUAUGACCAUAAAAGGAAGGUUGGUAUUGAUUUUGGGAGUUUUGGUCCCAACAGAAUAAGGGGCCCAAAGGGUCCAAAAUUAAACUUUGUUUGAUUUCAUCAAAAAUUGAAUAAUUGGGGUUCUUUGAUAUGCCGAAACUAACUGUCAUGACUGUGUAUGUAGAUUCUUAACUUUUGGUCCCGUUUUCAAAUUGGUCUACGUACAUUAAGGUCAAAAGGGUCCAAAAUUAAACUUAGUUUGAUUUUGACAAAAAAUGAAUCAGUUAGGUUCUUUGAUAUGCUGAAUCUAAAAAUGUACUUAGAUUCUUGAUUAUUGGCCCAGUUUUCAAGUUGGUCCAAAUCGGGGUCCAAAAUUAAACUU